AUUUAUAUAGUUUAUGAAAACAUUUCAUUUUCAAUGAAAAGUAAAAUAAAAUUUAUUUUAUAAAUA
rnacentral:tRNA from 1 species